ensembl:lncRNA
GCUGCAUAGUGAAAGCAAGGAAAGAUCUUGCUUCUGGUGCAGACUUGUCAAAUCUAAUAGCUACAAUGAUCGUUUAUCAAUAAAAUGGAAAGUUUGGAAGAUGUGUGAUGUUAGGAGGUUAAUGAUGUGAGACUCAAGGAUGCAGACUGUAAUCUUGUUAGUAUGCUAUUAUGGCAAUACACAUUCAUAAUUCAGAGGUUUUAUGUACUUGGUGUUGAUUAAAAGAAUUAAUCCAGCCAGCUCACCAAGGGCAAUGUGCUAGCUGGCAGGCACUGGUAAACAACAAGGCAGAGCAGUGUAAUCACCUGUAAGGAUAAAUGUAGGUGACACAGUCACAAUAGUAGAAAGUAGAUCCCAGGCAGGCAGCAAACACUGCCAUUGCCUAUUUCUGGCUUGCUUGGACAGCCGUGGGGGGGAAGAUCCAUACUAGCAUUUGUGAGGGCAAAGAAAUCAAAGGACCAGGGACCAGUGAAGGAAGAGACAUUUCAACAGCAAAAAAAAAAGAAAGAUUUGACAAGCAUGGAAAGUAUUGGUGAGAAAACCUUUAAUAAGAGGAGGGAAGGAAGAGCCAAAAUAAGCUGAAAGCUACAGCAUUAAAAUAAAGCAAAAGAAAUCCAAACCAGAAAGAUGUGACACUGGGAGAAAGUUCUUUUCAUAGACCACAGUAUAGAAAUAUCAGCGAAGCCAAACAUUUAGUAUGUAUCAUCAUGCACAAUAUUUAUGAAAAAAAACUUAAUUAACUUUCCUGUGUUCCAUUCUGGUUCUCCGUUUCUCCUUGUAAUCAAGCACAGAUUAACUAAUGAAGAAUACAUAGCCUGCAAGAUAUUUCUUCUACAAACAAUACAUUCCAUUUUGAUUCUUUAAUGGAUUUUGGAUGUACUGAAUUUUAUCGGCAGAUUUACUUUUGGUCCCCAACACUGGCUUGCACUGUUGCAGUUCCCAAGAAGGCUAAAGACUUGUUUGAAGGACAGCAGCAUGGAAUCUGGGAAAGAGAUUUCAGGAGGAAGGAGAGGGAAUGAACUUCUAGCAUAUGUUGUCAGUUUCCUUCAUGUUUCUUAUGAGCUGGACGGGAUAGGAUCAGCUGACUGAUACAUUUUCUGCCAUAACAGUGAGAAAAAAAAAAUAGGUUCUUCUUUCCUUCCUUCCUUCCUUUUGAUACUAUUAGAUAAAAAUCAGUCAGCCCAAUAGCAUAAAAUCCCCUCAUAUUAAAGCUAUCUUACUUCAUAGACCUUCUUCUCUUCUCCUGUGAUGUUCUUUUUAUCCAAGUGUAUUUUUUCAGAGGAAAGUGUAAAAUUUGGCCUCAGCCAAGUAGUAAUUUUUUCAAAUCUUAAAGUAUCUCACAUAAUUCAAGUUUUACAAAGAUGAAUUUUAAGCGACAAAUUGGUCCUUUUGUACUUCUGAUAGGUUUGCUAGGUUGAUUGAGAGUCAGUGGGUGAAAAUAGGACUCAAAUUCAGUUUUGACUGAUGAGUCAGAUGACACAGUUGAGAAAAAAGUAGGGCACAGCAGCUUGUGUUCCCUUGAAGUGGAUAAAAAUAAAGGACUAGAUUUUCAAAAGAUUCA